GACGAACGCUGGCGGCGUGCCUAAUACAUGCAAGUAGAACGCACAGUUUAUACCGUAGCUUGCUACACCAUAGACUGUGAGUUGCGAACGGGUGAGUAACGCGUAGGUAACCUGCCUGGUAGCGGGGGAUAACUAUUGGAAACGAUAGCUAAUACCGCAUAAUAUUAAUUAUUGCAUGAUAAUUAAUUGAAAGGUGCAAUUGCACCACUACCAGAUGGACCUGCGUUGUAUUAGCUAGUAGGUGAGGUAACGGCUCACCUAGGCGACGAUACAUAGCCGACCUGGGAGGGUGGUCGGCCACACUGGGACUGAGACACGGCCCAGACUCCUACGGGAGGCAGCAGUAGGGAAUCUUCGGCAAUGGACGAAAGUCUGGCCGAGCAACGCCGCGUGAGUGAAGGAGGUUUUCGGAUCGUAAAGCUCUGUUGUAAGAGAAGAACGGGUGUGAGAGUGGAAAGUUCACACUGUGACGGUAUCUUACCAGAAAGGGACGGCUAACUACGUG
rnacentral:rRNA from 1 species